rnacentral:rRNA from 1 species
CUAGGAGGUUGGCUUAGAAGCAGCCAUCCUUUAAAGAAAGCGUAAUAGCUCACUAGUCGAGUCGGCCUGCGCGGAAGAUGUAACGGGGCUCAAACCACACACCGAAGCUGCGGGUGUCACGUAAGUGACGCGGUAGAGGAGCGUUCUGUAAGCCUGUGAAGGUGAGUUGAGAAGCUUGCUGGAGGUAUCAGAAGUGCGAAUGCUGACAUGAGUAACGACAAUGGGUGUGAAAAACACCCACGCCGAAAGACCAAGGGUUCCUGCGCAACGUUAAUCGACGCAGGGUUAGUCGGUUCCUAAGGCGAGGCUGAAAAGCGUAGUCGAUGGGAAACAGGUUAAUAUUCCUGUACUUCUGGUUACUGCGAUGGAGGGACGGAGAAGGCUAGGCCAGCUUGGCGUUGGUUGUCCAAGUUUAAGGUGGUAGGCUGAAAUCUUAGGUAAAUCCGGGGUUUCAAGGCCGAGAGCUGAUGACGAGUCGUCUUUUAGAUGACGAAGUGGUUGAUGCCAUGCUUCCAAGAAAAGCUUCUAAGCUUCAGGUAACCAGGAACCGUACCCCAAACCGACACAGGUGGUCGGGUAGAGAAUACCAAGGCGCUUGAGAGAACUCGGGUGAAGGAACUAGGCAAAAUGGCACCGUAACUUCGGGAGAAGGUGCGCCGGCUAGGGUGAAGGAUUUACUCCGUAAGCUCUGGCUGGUCGAAGAUACCAGGCCGCUGCGACUGUUUAUUAAAAACACAGCACUCUGCAAACACGAAAGUGGACGUAUAGGGUGUGACGCCUGCCCGGUGCCGGAAGGUUAAUUGAUGGGGUUAGCGCAAGCGAAGCUCUUGAUCGAAGCCCCGGUAAACGGCGGCCGUAACUAUAACGGUCCUAAGGUAGCGAAAUUCCUUGUCGGGUAAGUUCCGACCUGCACGAAUGGCGUAACGAUGGCGGCGCUGUCUCCACCCGAGACUCAGUGAAAUUGAAAUCGCUGUGAAGAUGCAGUGUAUCCGCGGCUAGACGGAAAGACCCCGUGAACCUUUACUGUAGCUUUGCACUGGACUUUGAGCCUGCUUGUGUAGGAUAGGUGGGAGGCUUUGAAGCGUGGACGCCAGUUCGCGUGGAGCCAUCCUUGAAAUACCACCCUGGCAUGCUUGAGGUUCUAACUCUGGUCCGUAAUCCGGAUCGAGGACAGUGUAUGGUGGGCAGUUUGACUGGGGCGGUCUCCUCCUAAAGAGUAACGGAGGAGUACGAAGGUGCGCUCAGACCGGUCGGAAAUCGGUCGCAGAGUAUAAAGGCAAAAGCGCGCUUGACUGCGAGACAGACACGUCGAGCAGGUACGAAAGUAGGUCUUAGUGAUCCGGUGGUUCUGUAUGGAAGGGCCAUCGCUCAACGGAUAAAAGGUACUCCGGGGAUAACAGGCUGAUACCGCCCAAGAGUUCAUAUCGACGGCGGUGUUUGGCACCUCGAUGUCGGCUCAUCACAUCCUGGGGCUGAAGCCGGUCCCAAGGGUAUGGCUGUUCGCCAUUUAAAGUGGUACGCGAGCUGGGUUUAGAACGUCGUGAGACAGUUCGGUCCCUAUCUGCCGUGGACGUUUGAGAUUUGAGAGGGGCUGCUCCUAGUACGAGAGGACCGGAGUGGACGAACCUCUGGUGUUCCGGUUGUCACGCCAGUGGCAUUGCCGGGUAGCUAUGUUCGGAAAAGAUAACCGCUGAAAGCAUCUAAGCGGGAAACUUGCCUCAAGAUGAGAUCUCACUGGGAACUUGAUUCCCCUGAAGGGCCGUCGAAGACUACGACGUUGAUAGGCUGGGUGUGUAAGCGUUGUGAGGCGUUGAGCUAACCAGUACUAAUUGCCCGUGAGGCUUGACCAUAUAACACCCAAACA